GGAUGCCAAUGGAGCCAUAUGGAAGCUUGAUCUUAGUUUUUCAAAUAUUACCCAGGAUCCAGAAUGCCUCUUCUCCUUCCACUCGGGGCCUAUCCAGGCCUUGGCUGUUUCUCCCCUCACUUAUCUCAUGGUCACUACUGCCCUGGACCGUA
rnacentral:lncRNA from 1 species